AAUUAAAUAUCACUCACAUAAGGGGAAACAGGUCAAAUUCCUGUGCGGUCCCGCCACUGUAGUGCAUCUAUUAAAAUGCAAAGCCAGAUUGCCUUACGUGAGAGUUUGCAUAGAGCGAGAGACUCAUUAAGGCAAAUG
rnacentral:sRNA from 2 species